rnacentral:rRNA from 1 species
UACGAAGGGGGCUAGCGUUGUUCGGAUUUACUGGGCGUAAAGCGCACGUAGGCGGAUUCUUAAGUCAGAGGUGAAAUCCCGAGGCUCAACCUCGGAACUGCCUUUGAUACUGGGGAUCUCGAGUUCGGGAGAGGUGAGUGGAAUUGCGAGUGUAGAGGUGAAAUUCGUAGAUAUUCGCAAGAACACCAAUGGCGAAGGCGGCUCACUGGCCCGAUACUGACGCUGAGGUGCGAAAGCGUGGGGAGCAAACAGG